rnacentral:rRNA from 1 species
CCUACGGGUGGCAGCAGUGGGGGAUAUUGCACAAUGGGGGAAACCCUGAUGCAGCGACGCCGCGUGGGUGAAGAAGCGCCUCGGCGCGUAAAGCCCUGUCAACAGGGAAGAAAAUGACGGUACCUGAAGAAGAAGCCCCGGCUAACUACGUGCCAGCAGCCGCGGUAAUACGUCGGGGGCAAGCGUUAUCAGGAUUGACUGGGUGGAAAGGGGGGGCUGAAGGCGAUGCAAGCCAGGAGUGAAAGACCGGGGCCCAACCCCGGGACUGCUCUUGGAACUGCGUGGCUAGAGUGCGGGAGGGGCAGGCUGAAUGCGUGGUGUAGCGGUGAAAUGCGUAGAUAUCAGGAGGAACACCGGUGGCGAAGGCGGCCUGCUGGACUGCAACUGACGUUGAGGCCCGAAAGCGUGGGGAGCAAACAGGAUUAGAUACCCCUGUAGUC